UGGACAUUGGAUCUGGAUCUAUGCCGCUAGUCCCCCAUCCUUCAAGGUCGAGGUCUGGACCAAUGCCUAGGCUACUCGACUCACCCACAGAGAGGGCAAGUCUCUGGUCAUCACUAGGAAUCUGGGCUACAAGGGACUCCCUGUCAGAGGGAUCAGAUGAAAUCAUAAUAAUUUCUGAAGGUGAUGACUCAAUUGGAACAACUUCUACCACGAUAUCCUCAUCCUCAGCAUGUUCAAGCUCAGACUCGGAUGAAUCUUCCAUAACAACUUCUACUGGUUCGACCUCCGGUGAGUCAGGGGUCAUAUGGUUAGUCAUUAUCACGUUCGGAUCAGUUUCAUCGGAAGUGUAUCCCCAGUCUCUCAGGCUGGGUUCCCACGAGCUAUCUACGGAAAUCAUAGAGUUGGACAGGGUAGAUAACGAACUAGAAGAUGAAUUGGUUCCCGUCAUCCUACAAAAGGGGAACCAUCCAUCAGUUUACUAAAGAAAAAGGACAAAGUGAAAUAAAAUAAACAUCUAAGCACUCCUUAACAACCCUAAAAGGUUUUACUAUAAAAUAUUUAUAUGCAUACAUAUAUACAUGUAUGUAUACAGACAUAUAUAUCACGUAAUUGAUCCAUACGCUAACACUCAUCUAGCGCAUAUAAUAUAUGAUAGCGUGUCCUACAAGGUUUCUAACGUCAAAACCUAGGCUCUGAUACUACCUUACCGUCACGCCCCGAAUCUGCAGCGAAAAUUCAUAAAAUACGGGGUACGCGACAGCAGCGACCCGUGCACGAGACAAGUCUUAUGCACAAGUCAAGCCUGGCAAUUCAUAUCACAUAGUUUAUUUUCAAAAUAUUCAUAAUCCUGUUGAUGAUAGAAAUCAGAGCAACUAUAUAUAUAUGAUCGGUACUUACACCCCACAAGCUCACCGUUAUAAGCAUUUUUACAAAACAAAACAAAUUGUGCUGAAGAUAACAUUAAAAAGAAGAGGCUUUCCAUAUCACGCCUCUCAGUCAAAAGCUCAAACCAAAAGUCGGCUAAUAGGAAGCUACGCCGGAUCUGAAAAAAAAUAUUUAAAAACAACGGGGUGAGCUAACGCUCAGUGAGAACAUUUCCCACUAGAGUUCCUAGAUAACUAACAAAAUAGUAAUAAGAAUAGUUCUCAGAAAUUAACAAAUUUUAAGUUUUGCAUGAGAAAUUCACAGAUAGCAAAAUAUGAUCCAAAUAUCAUAAUAUUGUCAUUUUUAAGAAAGAAUACAACGAUUAUAUUUCAUUUCUCAUGUGUAACUGAAUAAACUGUGAAAUUUCUUGGAAUUAAACCCUUUUUGAAUCAAGGUAAACAUUAAGAAUGAAAAGAACUACUAAUUUGUACAAAAUCAGAGAAUUGUUGUUUUCUUAAUUUCACAGUCAAUUAUCAGAAUCUUAUUUCUCGAUGAGUAUUUCAUGAAUGUAAAAGUCACCCCAUAGGUCACACUAAGGCUACGAAUUUUAGCCCAGUAGCAAGGGAAUGCGUAAACCGCAUCAGAUAACAGAUAAUUUUCGGAAACCGAAUACACCUAACACUGCCAUAGGCUACGGGCCAAAUACAGAGGGGCCAGAAUAGAUUUCAGAAGGGCCAAUACAGAAGGGCCAAGACCAAUACAGAAGGGUCAAAUAAAGGUGCAUUCACCAUAUGACAGGCAGAACCAAUCCAUAGUGGACUAUUUGAGGGUUUGAAAACAUCGAGAUCACAUGUCAAAUGAGAAAUAUUUUGCAUAUCAGAAUUUGCAGAUAUUCAAAUGAAGUUGGCAAGGUAAAACUUCUCAUUUCUGUUAAAACAGUUCACGGAUAUUUACUUUUCCUUUUAUCAGAUACUAAACCACGAAAAAUCUUUGAAUCCGUUAAACUGUUGAAAUACGUUCCAAUAUUUCAUCAAAAACUUUCAGAUAUAACAAAGUCCACAAUUAUUUGAAAAUUGCACGAGAGCCAAAGUUAUUUUUCAUAUUUUACAUAAAGAUCAAAUUAGCUUUUGAUAUAUUGUACGAGGCUAACAUCGUAUUAUAGGAUAGACCACAACAGAAAUAGGUCAAAUCUUUAUAUACAUGAAAAGACAUAUUAUUUAUUUAUUUAUUUUUAUCACAAGAUAAAUCAAAUAUAAAACUCAUGAAAUUUCAUAUUAUAAAAUACUAGUGAGAAAUGAACUCACCUCUAGUGGUCAUGAUUUUCUCAAACUAUUAUUCUCCCGAAUAUCAACCAGAACUUAUAAUGUAAGAUAUAUGACUAAUUAUUAAUUAUGAACAAACAUAUAUUAUAGGUAAAUUAACUCAUAAUCUAGAGUCUAAUAAACUCAAAUAUAAUCAAUAAUGAUCAAAUUCUACAGUACAUAUAAGCUUAUUGUUAAUUUAGCAAUUUAUCAAAAUUUUAUAACUCUCAUAUACUAGCUUUUGGACUUUCUAGCAAUUUAUAAUAAUGCAGGGGGUUAUAGGGAAUUUUAUCAAGUCUAAAAAAUUAUUGUUUAUUCCUCAGGUUAGGCUUGUUAACAAGUAAAGUAAAUGACAAGGGCCUAACAGAGAUUCCCAAUCCUUUUUCAAACAUAACUCACAUUAUUAAGGUCGGUUUCAAAAAAUUUUCAUGGUUCAGGGGGCUUAAAGCAAUUUUCCUCCCUUUAUUAAAAAAAAAGCACCUGGUCAUCUUCCUCCCCCCUUCUUCGUUUCUUUCUCCUUUUUUUUCGUUUCUCUUUUUUUCUUUCAGUUUCCCCUUUUUUUUUCCUCCUUUCGGUUUUCCUCACCUCUCUCCUCUCUCUCUCUCUCUCUCUCUCUCUCUCGCCAAAGCCCUAAGAUCGCGGAAAGGGGACCGUCAGUGAUCAGGAGAUGGCCGGUGGUCAGACCUCACUGAAAACUAGGGUUAGCAUUCUCUCUUUUCAUACAAUCUUAAUAGGUAUUUCCAAAAUUAAACUUGUUCAUCAUAAUCACUAUCCUAUUAGAAACUAAUUAGAUAAAAAGAAAAUAGAAAUUAAAUUACCUUAGAUUUUCCCUUUUUUCCUUCACUGUCUCCUUCUUCUUCUUCUUUUCUUCUUUAUUUUUUUUCGUUUUUAACCUGAAUUUCUCCCCUUUCCUCCCCUUAUAUACCGUUGGAGGGCGGUGAAAAGCUAAUCGCUAUGUUAAGUGGUGGAGAAACUCCCCACCACAAAAUUUUUAGUUAUUUUAUUCAUUCAUUUAUUUAUUUAUAUUUUUGUUGGCUAUUACAAUGAAGAUCCACAAAAAUAAGCGAGAAUGAAGCUUAUUCCUAUCUCAGGAGAAAUACAUUAAGAAGGUAUUGGAGAGAUUUGGCAAGCUUGAUGCCAAGCCUGUGAAGACUCCGCUUGUUACUCAUUUUCGUCUUUCAGUAGAUUUGUCACCUCAGACUGAGAAGGAGGUGCAGUACAUGUCUUAUGUUCCUUAUGUUAGUGCAGUUGGAAGCAUUAUGUAUGCUAUGGUCUGCACUUGUCUAGAUAUUUAACAUGCAGUCAGUGUUGUGAGUCGGUAUAUGAAUAAGCCUGGAAAGGUCUAUUGACAGGUUGUGAAAUGGAUACUUAGAUAUUUAAGAGGAUCUGCUAAUAUUGGCUUAUAUUUUGACAGGAACACAAACUCAGAUUGCAUAUACUUGGCUAUUCUGAUUCAGAUUAUGCAGACGAUUUGGAUAAGAGACGAUCCCUGACAGGUUAUAUAUCCACUUUUCAGGUAGUACCAUUAGUUAGAAGGCGACUCUACAGUCGACAGUUGCUUUGUCUAUCACAGAUGUAGAGUAUAUGAUAGUGACAGAGGCAGUGAAAGAAGCUAUUUGAUUGAGAGGUUUGGUUGAAGAUCUCGGCUUACACCAAUGUGUUACUUCGGUAUUUUGUGAUAGUCAGAGUGCUAUACAUUUGACGAAGCAUCAGAUGUAUCAUGAAAGAACCAAACAUAUAGAUAUCAGAUAUUAUUUCAUCAGAGAAGUUAAAGUCAUAAAGGUUGAAAAAAUUGGUACUGCAGACAAUCUAGCAGAUAUGAUGACGAAGUCCGUACCUUAACGCAAGUUCGAGCAUUGUCUCGAAUUGCUUGGAGUUUAACAAAGCGGAAGUUAAGCCCGUAAGGGGCUUCUGGCGAGACAACAAGAGUAAAGGGAAGAUCUUCAUUUUCAAAGUCAAUGUGAAGAUUUGUCAUGUGUCUUUGAAAAUUUCUCCAUUUACCUAACAUCACUAUGCCACCUACUCCCAAUUAUUGUUCCAACAACCACUUUUUUAAUUUUUUAUUAUUAUUUGGAAACUAUAUAAGGAGGGUGUGGGAGAGAGUUUAGAACACAGAACAAAUAGAGAGAAGAAGUGAGAGUCAGAGAGAAGAGAGUGAGAUAGAAAGAGAAGUCUUUCUUUGUGUGAUUCUUUGGUUAGAGAGUGAUCUCUUCUUUUGUAAUCUUCUCUUUUGUGAUUAGUGAAGUUAUCUGCUGUUCUCUCCCGUGGAUGUAGGUCAUAUUGGCCGAACCACGUUAAAUCCUUAUGUGUUGUUCUUUGUCUUCACUGUGUUUAUUCAGUGUUGUUAUUUUCCACUCUUGUAUAGACAUUUUCUGUGUCUAUAAAGCCCCCCGCUGCAACAGUUACCGAGGAACAUCACAUGUCAUCGGAGCUCGUAAAUGAUCACAAGGACUAUGUCAUCGAAUUUUCGUAGCAAGUGCUCCAAAAGAUGUUUUUACGAGGCUCACUCGAUCAGUACUCAAACUUCAUUCAACAACCGAGCCAACCCAUUACAACAGGUUCAAACAACAGUUCAUAGACAAUAACAACCAGUAGAGUCGAGAACCCUCAAAAAGACACAGACGUGGAAGAUAAUGAACCACCAUCAUCUCCAUAGCUCCAAUUAGCUAUUACAAUCAUUAUAUAAUCUUUUUUUUGUUUUCUUUGUUUCUGAUAUGCAGAACUAACAAGCUGUACAAAUCAACAUUAGAGUGUUAAAAAAUUAGCUGGGAGGUGCAUUGCAAUCUCUCUUCUAUUCAGCCCUUUCUAAUUUUGUCUUUGGUCAGACCCUUCCAGUUAACUAGGCCUGGUUUUAUUGACAAAUUUCUGGAAUCUUUGUUGUUAGUAUGCUGUUCCAAAGCGUGUUGUCUUUUACUUGAUUGCCAGCUUAGCUUCCUGAAAGCUCUAGCCUCUUGGAUUAAAAAUGCUGAGGAAUCCACAUGUGAAUGCUUGAUUCAUCUGGUAUCACUUUGAGUUCUGUCGUUGACGAUUAUGGGAUUGGCAAACGUUUGGAGGGUACAGUUCAAGCGCAGUUGUCCAUGUCGUGACAUCCUGCUCCUGUAAUUGAAAAAGACUGCUGAUUAGUCUUAGCGGUCUCCAAUGCUUGUGAUUAGUGGGCAUGAGAACUAUCGCGCACAUCGGAACAAGUAUAACUUCUUGCCGUGCAGCUACUGCUAGAUUGUUAAAAGAAUAACAACCUGAUUCAAGCUCAACUCGCGCUUUGUAGGUUUUAAAGAUUGAGAACACAUCCGUCUUCUUCUUGACUGGAUACACUCAACAUCUCAUGGAAUAAUCAUUAAUAAAGGAAACAAAAUAUUUUGCUCAUCUCAUUGAUGUAACUGGUUCUUGCCAUACAUCAGAAUGAACCAGUUUCAGAAUAGUCUUACUUCUAGAACUCGAUGUGUUGAA